GAGUUUGAUCCUGGCUCAGAACUAACGCUGGCGGCGUGCCUAACACAUGCAAGUCGUACGAGAAAGUCGGCUUCGGCCGAUGAGUAAAGUGGCGCACGGGUGAGUAAUGCGUGGAUAAUCUGCCCUUGAGUUCGGAAUAACGUACCGAAAGGUGCGCUAAUACCGGAUAAUACUGCACAACUACUGUUGUGUAGUCAAAGAUGGCCUCUGUUUACAAGCUUUUGCUGAAGGAUGAGUCCGCGUACCAUUAGCUAGUUGGUGGGGUAAUGGCCUACCAAGGCGACGAUGGUUAGCUGGUCUGAGAGGAUGAUCAGCCACACUGGAACUGAGACACGGUCCAGACUCCUACGGGAGGCAGCAGUGAGGAAUAUUGCGCAAUGGGGGCAACCCUGACGCAGCAACGCCGCGUGAGUGAGGAAGGUUUUCGGACCGUAAAGCUCUGUCGAGCGGGAAGAAAUGCAUGGUGGCUAAUAUCCAUCAUGCUUGACGGUACCGCUAGAGGAAGCACCGGCUAACUCCGUGCCAGCAGCCGCGGUAAUACGGGGGGUGCAAGCGUUGUUCGGAAUUAUUGGGCGUAAAGAGCGUGUAGGCGGCUGAAUAAGUCAGAUGUGAAAUCCCUGGGCUUAACCCAGGACGUGCAUUUGAAACUAUUCAGCUUGAGUAAGGGAGAGGAAAGUGGAAUUCCUGGUGUAGAGGUGAAAUUCGUAGAUAUCAGGAGGAACACCGGUGGCGAAGGCGACUUUCUGGCCCUAUACUGACGCUGAGACGCGAGAGCGUGGGUAGCAAACAGGAUUAGAUACCCUGGUAGUCCACGCUGUAAACGAUGUUCACUAGGUGUUGGGGGUAUUGACCCUCUCAGUGCCGCAGCUAACGCAUUAAGUGAACCGCCU
rnacentral:rRNA from 1 species